AAGGAUCAUUAAUAAAACUGGAAUACACAGUUCUUAAACCCACUCCGAGUAUGUGUACUUGUUGCUUCCGUGGGCAGUGAACCAUGUGUUUUGCGCCCACCCAUGUGGUGGACCCACGGGAGACAUGAUUAAACCCAGCAUUCCGUAGUCCCAGUCUGAUUAUGUUUAUCGAAUAAACCUUAAAACUUUCAACGACGGAUCUCUUGGUUCUC
rnacentral:misc_RNA from 1 species